rnacentral:lncRNA from 1 species
CCAUGUCUGAAGAGCCUGUUUUAAACCGAAUAAUAAUCUUUGAAGCUUAUAAAAAUAAUCUGGAUAAUUAGAAUUAAAAAAAUUAAUUGGUUGCAACAUUGAUGUGGAGCAAUUAGUUUUAGAUUUUAUGGUAGACUUGGACUGGUUUUAAUUUCUGUUAUCGACGUCCGUUGGAAGUCUACAAUAACUUUUUAAAAAUUUCAGAAAGGAAAUUUUGAGACGCAGGACUCUUAAAAAUGUGACAAUGGCCAUAAGCAUAGUCAUAAAGUUGGAGGUAAAAAUUCCAUCGUUUAAGGAUCAAUUUUGUAAUUUUAUUAUUUUUUAAAAUUUUUUUGUACUUUUUAUAUUAUGAUUUUUUUCUAUUAUAAAUAGUCAUUUUCUUAACUGUUUGAGACACUUUUCAAUUUUCAAGAAUUUAAUAAGAAAUUUCGGCUUGUUGUCUUUCGUUUUCUGAAUUUCAUCUUAACCAAAUAUUAUUGGUUAAAACUCCUGACGAAACUUAAACAGUCGACAACUAAGAGGCGUGACUUGCUACAAUUGAGGCAUCUUUGGCAGAAUUGAGGGAGACGAUUGAACAACUAGCCCUACAAUGAGGUAACAACCAACCUGCUGCAGCCGAACGCCCAUAGCCAGUUCCGGCAAAUUCUGUGGUUGCAAAUCUCCAACAGGAUUAUCACGAAGGUUACAAGAUAAAGAUAGAUCUUCAAAACUUUUCUGGUUUAUUGAAUGUAGAAUCUGUCAUUGAUUAUUUAGCGGAGAUUGCUCAAUUUUUUGAAGUUAUGAACAUGGAAGAGGAUUGAAAGGGUCUGAUUAUGGCUUAUAAAUUAAAGGGUGGUGCAACAACAUAGUAAAAUUUUAUUCAAAACGAACGUUAUCCCAAGAGGUUGGAACCUGUACGAAAUUGGCUGUUGAUGAAGCAGACGAUUGAGUAGUGGUUCUUGCCUAGCGAUCAUGUCCAAAUUUUGUAUAACUGGUAUCAUAACUGUAUUCAAGGGAGUCGAAGUGUGGAUGAAUAUAUAGAGAAAUUUUUACGAUGGCAAGCGAAUUGUGAUAACUGUGAGAAUAAUGCCCAGCAAGUUGCUCAUUAUCAGAGGGGACUGAAUCACAAAAUUUGUUGUAUGAUGGGAGUAGUCGUGAUUUCCACUUUGGCAGAUUCCAUUGAGAUGGCUAAAAGAGCGGAAGAACGUGUUGAAUGGCAGCCUCGACAUCAGUCUAAUCAGAAUUUUAAUUAUAAAAAUUCUAGUUCGACAGAAACUCAACAGUAUAAAGGCAAUUACAGUGUAAGGAAAAAUUGCCCCUAUUCUGGUUCUACGAAACAUUCUAAAGUUAAAAGAAAAACUGCUGUUGCUGUUUUUGCAGAGUGCAAAACCUAUUAGGCGCAAUUAAGCAAUCUAGAGGCACAUUGACUUUAUUGGUGAGAACAAAAGAAGAAGUCGAGGAUGCACCAUCUUUACUACCACCUGUCAAAGAGCUGUUGGAGGAGUUUCCUAGAGUAGUGGUGGAGCCUUUAAAGCUUCCACCUUUGUAGGAUAUUCAACAUUAGAUUAAUCUCAUUCUUAGAUCUAAAUUAGCAAAUCUACCUCAUUACAAGAUGAGCCCAAAGGAAAGUGAAAUUCUUCAAAAAUAGGUUGAAAAAUUAUUAAAGAAGGGGCACAUUCGGGAGAACAUUAGCCCUUAUGGAAUCCCUGACUUAUUGGUUCCAAAGAAAGAUAGAACUUGGAGAAUAUGUGUGGAAGCAGAGCCAUCAAUAGGAUUACGGUUCAGUAUCGAUUUCCUAUUCCUCGCCUAGAUGACAUGUUGGAUCAGUUAUCAGGGUCUAAAGUCUUCUCUAAGAUCGACCUUAAAAGUGGCUAUCACUAAGUUUGAAUUGAGGGAGAUCAAUGAAAAAUAACCUUUAAAACUAAGAAAGGCUUGUACGAGUGGCUGGUUAUGCCAUUUGGCUUGACGAAUGCACCUAGCACAUUCAUGCAACUAAUGAACCAGGUUCUGCAUCCUUUCUUAUGCAAAUUCGUGGUUGCUUAUUAUGACAUCUUGAUUUUUAGUCGCAGCGAAGAAGAAUAUUUACAGCACCUCCAUCAAGUCAUGACAUUCUUGCAAGAAAAUGAGUUGGUUAUUAAUUUAAAAAAAUGCAUCUAUAUGACCGAGCACAUUCUGUUUCUUGGAUUUGUUAUUAGUGCAGAAGGGAUGCAUGUUGAUGACAAGAAGAUAGACCAUUCUCAAAAAUAUUUCAGAAGUUCGUAGCUUUCAUGGACUUACUACUUUCUAUCAACGGUUUAUCAGAAAUUUCAGCAGCAUCAUUGCCCCUAUCAUAGAUUAUUUGAAGAAAGAGAGAGUGUAGAAAUUUACUUGGACUGACUUUGCUAAUAAAAGGUUUGAGGAGAUUAGCUUACUUCUGCCCCUAUACUUGCUCUACAUGAUUUUGAUAAACUGUUUAAGGUUGAAUGUGAUGCUUGUGGAGUUGAGAUUGACGGUGCGUUAUCACAGUCUAAUAGGCCUAUUGCCUUCUUUAGUGAGAAAUUGAAUGAUGCUAGCAAGAAGUGUUAUACUUAUGAACAUGAAUUAUAUGCAGUGUUUCAGACGUUUAAAACUUGGAAACAGUAUCUGAUGGGACGAGAGUUCAUUAUUCACACAAAUUAUCAAUCUUUGAUUCACUUUAAGACUCAAAAACAUGUGAAUAAGAUGCAUGCUCGAUGGGCAGCUUAUUUUGGAGCUUUUCAUUAUGUCAUAAAACAUAAGCCUGACCAUAGUAAUAAGGUAGCAAACGCUUUGAGUAGGAGGCUGCUAAUUACAGUUAGUCAGGAGAUUGUGGGUUUUGAAUUUAUGAAGGAUUUAUUAGCUGUAAAUGAUGAUUUUGCUGAUAUAUGGGUGAAGGUCUAGGCUCGUCAGCCUGCUUGUGGGUUCUUGAUACAUGAUGAAUUUCUUUUUAAGGAAAACGAGUUAUGCAUUCGUCAUUCUUCUCUGCGGUAAAAAUUAAUUCGAGAGGUUUAUGGUGGAGGUUUGAGUAGUCAUUUAGGGCGUAACAAGACUAUUGUUGGUUUAGAAGAGCAUUUUUAUUGGCCAUAAUUGAAAAGGGAUACAGGAUGAAUGGUAUAGAGGUGUCCAGUUUGUCAAACUCAGAAAGGUCAUGCCCAAAACACGGGCUUAUAUACUCCAUUACCUAUUCCAGAAUACCCUUGGUAGGACUUGACUAUGAAUUUUGUUCUUAGUCUUCUACUUACUCAACGUAGAUCUAAUUCCAUUUUUAUUGUCAUUGAUAGGCUCUCCAAAAUGACACAUUUCAUUCCUUGCAAGAAAACUAAUGAUACUUCUCAUAUUGCAAAAAACUGUUUUUUCAGGAGGUUCUUCAUUUACAUCCUAGGACCAUUACUUCUGACAAAGAUGUGAAGUUUCUAGUUCACUUUUGGAUGACUUUAUGAUAAGCGUUUUACGAUUGCAUUUCGAUACAGUAGUGUUGCUCAUCCUCAAACUGAUGGCCAAACUGAAGUGGUGAAUCGCACUUUUAGCAAUCUUCUGCAUUGCAUCUACAGUAAUAAGAAAACUGCUUGGGAUCUUGCUCUUGUCCAAGCAGAAUUUGCUUAUAAUGGUUCUGUCCACAACUCUACUAGGAUGUCACCCUUUGUAGUUGUGUACAGGAGAAUGCUAGUGCAUACAGUUGACCUUAUUGCCCUCUUUACAUGUUUUCAUAAUAGUGUUGCAGCAAACAACUUAGCAAAUCAGAUGUGGAUGUUUUCAAAUAGGUACAAUAAUGCAUUUGUGAAAGCCAACAACAAGUAUAAAGCUGGUGUUUCAAGACCUUUAAUAUCGGUGAUCAAUUUAUGGUAUAUCUACGUAAGAAACGUGGUGGAGGACAAAAAAAAAGCUUGACCUAAAAAAGAUUGGUCCAUUUCGGAUUAUUCAGAAGAUUAAUGACAACACCUAUGCUCUUGACCUCCCAGGUUAUAUGAAAAUUUUCAAAUUGUUCAAUGUGGCGGAUUUAUUUUAGUAUUAUCCUACUAAUGACAACUCGAGGUCGAGUUCUUUACAAAUGGAAGGGAAUGAUGCAGAGCAAUUAGCCUUAGAUUUUAUGACAGACUUGGACCAGACUUAAUUUUUGUUGUCGAUAUCUGUUGGAGGCCCACAAUAGCUUUUCGGAAAGGGCAUUUUAAGACGCAUGACUUUCAAAAGUGUGAUAAUAGCCACAGUUCGAAGCAAAAAUUUCAUCAUUUAGGGGGUCAGUUUUAUAAUUUUAUUAUUUUUUUGGAUUUUUUCAUAAUUUUUCAUAUUAGGAUUUUUUUUCUAUUAUAAAUAGUUAUUUUCUUGAAUGUUUGAGAUACUUUUCAAUUUUUGAGAAUUUAAUAAGAAAUUUCAGUUUCUAACCUUUUGUUUUCUUAAUUUUGUCUUAAUCAAAUGUUAUUAGUUAAAAUUCCUAACGGAACCUAAAUAAUCCUAUUCCAGGCAUAUAAAUCACUUUAUCUAAAAAGCCAUGAAGAAAGGCAUCAUAAAUAUUAAUAAGAAAUUACGGUGAACUGUUGCAAGAGAGAGAAUAGUUCGAAUGGUUGUUGGCUUAACAAUUGGACUGAAUGUUUCAUGAUGGUCAAUGCCAAGCUGCUGGGAAAAACCUUUUGCGACCAUAUAUGCUUUAUAACGCUCAAGUUCCCCAUUUUAUUUUUUCUUCAACCGAUAAACCCAUUUAUGGCCAAUAAUAUUCUUAUCUUUCAGACGAGGUACUAAUGUCCAAGUCUGAUUUUGUAGCAAUGCAUUAAUUUCACAUUGCAUAGUAGCUCUCCAUGGUUCAUAGUCUUUGGCUUAGUUAAAAGUAUUUGGCUUAAUAGUUAAGAAGUCAAUUUUUUAGUGGAUAAAUAGACAUGGCGUUUGGUCAUAGUGGUUGGUCAUAGAGUCACAUAAUGUGUGCGAUUAACAGUUGAGGAAGGAAGAGAAUUGAGUUGGCAGUAGAAUUAAAGUGAGAUAAGUCAACAACAAGAGGUAAGCUGUAUUGAGAAGUGGUUGGAUUAUUUAAAGGGGGAGUUAGGAUUGGAUGAAGAAGAUAACGUUAGUGUGUCAGUGGGAUUUAAAUUUAAAUUUGGAAAGGAAAGUUGGUUAGGAGAAAAUGGUUGGAGAGGAGUAUGAACAACAUUUAAAUUUGAAGAGGUGGAGAUAUUAGAGGAGGAAGUGUGGUGAUUCCCAUCCAAGGUGGAAGACUGAGGUGGUAGAAGCGAGACAUGUAGCCACGGGAAAGAAGUAGAGGUGGAAAUAGAUGUGGACUCUUUGUUACGGUACAAGGUCUUUGGAUCAAAAUGAGCAUUUCGAGCUAUAAAAACUCUACCUGACUCAAUAUCUAAUUAAGCAAUGACUACCACAAUGAGAAGUACUUGGACCAAGAUAAACACAUGGUUUAGUACGAAAUUCAAAUUUGUAUUUCUUAUAUGGACGUAAGAGAGGAUAGACAGUACAACCGAAAGGAUAGAUAAGCUCAUAAGAAUGAUGUAUGGUAAAUAAUUUAUGAUAUGGAAUAUUAUGUUAUUGAACAAAUAGAUGUUUCAAAAGCAUAAUUCUAAUAUUGUUUUGGUAUAUUUGAAUGAGCAAGGAGAAUUAAAGAGGUAUUAACAAGAUGGCAAAUUUUUCGCUCUACUAUUCCAUUUCGUUCAUGAGUGUAAGGAAAAGCUAUACAAUGUAUAGUUUCCAUUUUUUUGAAAUAUGGAUGUAAGUUUUAAAACUCUCCACCCCAAUCAGAAUGAAAAGAUAAUAUUUUUGAGUUAAUUUCACGAGAAACCAAGGUUUCAAAUUGUAAAAAUGAAGCAUUAACAUCACUCUUAUUUUUAAGUAAAUAAACCCAAUUAAAAUGAGUGAAAUCAUCAAUUAAGACAAGAACAAAUUUAUAUCAAAGACUAGAUGAAAUGGGAGCAGGUCCUAAACAUCAGCAUGAAUAAUUUGAAAAGGAGCAGUACUAUGAUACUCAACUAAAGCCAAAGGAAUCCUAGACAGUUUUCCUAAGUUAUAGAAAGAACAAAUUUGAAAUUGACUAGAAGAACAAGGCUAAUAAAAGACUUGAUUAGCAAAGAUAUGAUUCUGCUAUUGGAAUGUCCAAGAGCAGCAUGCCAAUCAUUUAUUGAUGGAAUAGUGGAAAUGAGAGCUUGCUUGAAGGAAGUGAUAUUAGGCAUGGAUUGAAAGGAGCAGGGCUAUCUCUUUACAAGCAUCAAAUGAAUAUUUAAUAACAUAACAACAAUUACCUGAAAUGUCAAUAUACAAUAAUUAAAUUGAAGGAUCAUCAUCUAAAUUCUAAAAGUAGCAACUCAAGUCUGAUUACGCAGACCAACUUAGCAACUACCGGGUCUUUGGAUCUAUUCAUUUUCUUUUUAACUCUAAUUUAUUUCUUAAUUUUUUUUUGGUUCUCAAAGUUGAAUGGAAAAAAAUAAAAUUGUGAUUAAUUUUUAUUUUUGGUGAUCAAUGAAAUCGACCAUUCGGCUGCCACUCCUUUCCAGGCGGUGAAAUCACCAAUUCAAGUAGCAAAUGGAAAUUUGGGAGGAGGACCACCUUCAAGUGAAGAAUUAAAACAAACUCAGAGUAGUCCUCUAAUCGAGGAAGGCAAUAUUUUAAAGGGAGUUUGAUUUCACUUUGUGGGACUAGAUGCAGCAAUAAAGAUACCCCUACUGAUUGUGACAAUUCUGCGAGGCCCUUUCUAUAUGCAUAUCUUGCUUUAUAUUCUUGCUUGUUUAAUGGCAUUUCCUCUAUUUAAACCCUAAUGCAAUGAUUUAUUAUCCAAUCUCAUUGGUCUAUUAAAGCGAUUGUAUUUAAUAAAUUAAAUAAUUGGUUUAAUGGAGAUAAGAUAAAGAAAUUGUGACAAAUUAUUUUAAGUCAUUACUUGCAAUGCUGAAGGAUAAUAUAGCUUCAAAUCUAGCUGGAAGAUUUUAUUAUUUUGGGUUUUUUGUUAACUUUUAUAACUUGCAGAACUAGAAUUGGAUUUUAAUCAUGCAUUGAGCACCCACUACAGCAUAAUAUUAAUACAACACUUGCUUUCAUCCUUGAGAUCUGUAUUGUUCUUGCUGUCAAUCAUGACAUGUUAACUAAUGUGGUUAUAAGGUCUUUGGUGCUUGCAAUCAUACACUUUUUAGCAAGAUCCUCUUAGCUUGAUUUGACUCUUCACUCUUCAUAAUUACUAGAUAAUCAGCUCCAUGUUCUUUUGGUCUAAGUGUUUAUUUUUCAAUUAUAUGGACUGUAUCAAAGUAUGUCAAGAAAAUUAGUUCCAAAUUCUCUUGGUUAGUGUUUAUGUUUUUGGUAUAUGGACAUUAUUAAAGUAAAACUAGGAUUUAAAACCACCAGAUCAAACAGUUGACAUCUUUAGUAUAUGGAUAUUAUGUUUUUAGUAUAUGGACAUUAUGAGUGGCAAGCCAUUUAUUUGAGAAAUUAACAUCUUUCUCUGGCCUUUUCUGAUUGUAUUUAGUGUCGAUUUUUAUUGUACCUGUCAUUUAUCUUUGUUCCUCACGUGUUAGAUAGGUGCUGCAAGAUCCCUUUCUUUAUUUCCCACUCAUUAUGGUUUGUAUUGCCUUAUUUUAAGGAAUAGAGUUCUAGUGCAGCAAGUGCACUUGCACAGCAGCAAUGCUGCAAGUGCAGUAGUGUAGUGUGCAAGUGCAGCAAUGCUGCAGUGCACAGCGCACUUGCAGCAAGUGCAUCAGCAAGCUGCACUGCACUUGCACAGCAACAAUGUUGCAAGCUUGCUGCUACACUUGCACCUAAAAUUUAAAGUCUUCCACCUAGCCCUCCUAUCUUGAAACCAUAUAGUUAUCUGCCUCGGCUAAAGUCCUAAGGCCUUAGCCAACUACAUUUUCCUGUCAGGUUCAAGCUUAUUCCCCAUCUCAAAGCUCUUCUCAAGUGUCUUAACCUGCUUCAAGUUUAGCAUCUUCUUCUCUCCUAUACAUUGUGAUGCAUAGCAAGUGCAGCUUGCUUUUACUGCACUUGCAUCAAGUGCACUGUGCACAACAGCACUUGCUGCAGUUGCAGCUACUGCUGUGCCAGCAGCACUUACUGUGGGGACUGAAAAUUUUUUUUUCUGAGAUUAUUUGUGGGUUAAAGUGAUGGUUCAGAAUUGGACUAAGUUCUUGUGUUCCCAAAUCAGAAAUGUGUCUCUGUUUUUAUGCUUUUGUUGGUCUUUUCACACCAAUUGAUAGUUCUAAAUUAAAAUGAAAUAUUUUUUCUUAAUCUUUUUUUCAUCUCACAGGUAUGAUCUGCACUAUUUUAUAUGUUUACAUUGUAUUUUAGACAGGGGCUGCUAUUUCCAAGUUGCAAACAUUUUUCCACUUUAGUAAUUGCUAUACACUGCUCUAUGUAUGAGUAUAAGCUUUUUCCUUGAAGACUAUUCUAAUUAGAAUUCAGAAUCAAUUAUAUUACAGAAUUUCCAUAGUCAAUUUUACCAAUCAAAUAAUCAACAACUUCAAUUCUAAGCUAAGGAAAACGUAUAAAACACAUUAAUUUAGAGACUUAUAGGUCAAAGAUAUUUUCAAACUUUGAACAGAAUUAUAUAUUUCUCUCCUAGUUAUUACAACAUCAAUCACCUAAUUAUAGGGUCAUUUGAUAGGUCUUAAGAACAUUUUCAAGUGAGGUUAAAAAAAGUACUUAUUCAUAUGAAUAAUGACUUUUUUGUUAUUAUUACAUAUAAGAUUAAUUUUUAAAAAAUAUAUUUAUUUACAUUUAUGUAUAAUUAAUUAUUUAAAAACUAGUAUUUAUAUGAACAUGUGUUUUAUUUACAAGAGGAUGAACCUUUCAUUGAACAAAAGAGCACAAAACAAAAUAAAAAAAUUCCAGAUAUGAAAGAAUCAACAAAUAUCAAGUAAUUAAUCCCCACACGUUUUGGUCAUCGUCUGAGACUAACUAGGAGGAAAAUGAACAUAAAGCUCUCAACUUGGCAAAAUCCAUUAAGGAAACUACCAAUAUCAAUAAGCGAGCCAUCUUCAUAUCUGUGCUAAUCCUCAAUUCACACUUAGAAUAAUAAAAUUUGCAUGCUGACACGAAAUUAAACAGUUGUGAUAAAUCCAACGAAAACAAACAGUAUAUGCAAAAACCCGCGAAACAAAAGCUAAAUUCAUCAUCAAUGCACAAGAAGAUUGCGAAAGCAUUGGAUAAAAAAUGAAUUAUAGUUCAUAAACAACCAUCGAUAUAAACAAGGGGACAUACAGAGAAAAUAAUUAAAUUAAAAAUUUACAAGAAAAAAAAGCACAAACCUCAUUCAAAAAUUAGGGUUUAGAUUAAUCUCCCUCUUUAUCAAACUCCGUUGAGACUGUAGCUUUCGUUCUCCCUCACCAUUUUCCGAUUAUUUUCAGUCCUCUCGCUCUCCAAAAUCUCACACUCUCUAAAAUAAACGAAGCUAUAGCUGAGCUGAGAUAGAGUGUUGGAGGACUUGAAAUGGCGGCUUUUGAACAACCAAAGAUGUUAUUUUCCUUUGGUUUUGGGUAUUUCCCUUUCGAAGAUGGACUGGCUGGGAAAAAAUACGAAUCGCCAGGGUUUAGCAACGACACAACAGUAGCGAUGGAGCUUCUUCACGGGUGAGGGCGACAGCACAAUGGUGCCUUGUGUAUUCUCAGGCGACAGCAGUAGGAGUAAACAAUUUUGAAGGAAAACAACGAGAAGGACAAGGGAUUUGGUUAGAUAUCUCCCCAAUAUCAAUAUCAAAACGACCGUUUUAAUAAGUUUCAUAGAUAAAACUUUAGCGAACAAAUAUUAGUCGGUAAUUAGUCGGUACAAGUCAACCACAAAAAGCAUUAGCGAUCAAAUAUUAGUCGCUAAAAAGUUGAUAAGAUAGUCGCUAACUGGUCGAUAUUAAAGUGUCAUAUUUUUAUCACGAAAUCAUA